AAUGAACGUUGGCGGCGUGGAUUAGGCAUGCAAGUCGUGCGCGAACUGUAGCAAUACAGGGAGAGCGGCGAAAGGGAGAGUAAUACAUAGGUACCUACCCCCGGGCCUGGGAUAGCGGCGGGAAACUGCCGGUAAUACCAGAUAACGUCCCCGGACCAAAGAUGUGACUUCACCUGGGGAGGAGCCUAUGGCCUAUCAGCUUGUUGGCAGGGUAACGGCCUACCAAGGCAAAGACGGGUAUGGGGCGUGAGAGCGUGCCCCCACUCACUGGGACUGAGACACUGCCCAGACACCUACGGGUGGCUGCAGUCGAGAAUCUUCGGCAAUGGGCGCAAGCCUGACCGAGCGACGCCGCGUGCGGGAUGAAGGCCUUCGGGUUGUAAACCGCUGUCGUAGGGGAGGAAGGGCCUGUGAAGAACAGGACUUGACCGAUCCUAGGAGGAAGGGCCGGCUAAUCUCGUGCCAGCCGCCGCGGUAA
rnacentral:rRNA from 1 species